GAUGGAUAGACAAAAGUUUGAGGAGUAUGUGGAUUAGAAUAUAGAGGAGAAAUUAGUACCGCUGAUUUUCGUGUGGUGCGCUCGAGUCGAUUGAUGUACAUGACGUACGAUCGAGAGCAAGUAACUUUGAAAGUAUUAAUUUUUCCAGUCCAUGUUCUUUUACUUCUUUUCUUCAUUCAUGGAGAGUACUGUAUCUAAAUUUAUUCGACGGAUAGACACAAGUUUGAGGAGGAUAUACGAAUCAAGGCUGAUGAGAAAUUAGUAUCGCUGAUUCUCGCUGUGGUGCGCUCGAGUCAUUGCAUUGAUGCAUGAAGUACGAUAAACGAGUAAAUUUUAAAACUAUUUUUCCAAUCCAUAUUUUUUGGAAGACUUCUUCACUCGUGGAAUACAUACUAUUUAUGGAUUUGACAGUACAGAAAGUAAGUUGAAUGAACAAAGUUCCAGAGAAAGGUUAUAAAUAAAUUUGAUAAGUGCUGUCAGCGACUAAUGAAGAUCGUAUGACCCGGGACGAUCUCGCCGGGAUGGAGGAUAUAAUAAUUCAAACGGGAUGCCUGGACCACUUACAAAUGGCCGACGAAACGGAGCUAAGGGAUCGCACGCGAGAGAAAGAUAUCGAGGGUCGCGAAUUCAAGGACACGUGGAAUUAAUCGUUACAAGAAUUAUCGCGAAUCACCACUGAAUUCCACCUUUCUGUCUCUCCUCCUCCUCCUCCUCUUCUUCUUCCUCUUGCCAUAUUUACGAAUUCCUUGGUAAAGAAAAGUUGUGGGGAGGGGAAGAAUGCCAUCCUGAUCGAAGAUGGAAGCAAUGAAGGAUGAUCAAUUAAUAUAAUAGAUUGGAGUGGAAUUAAAAAUUUACUGUUAUUGUUGUUAUCUUGUCGUUACUAUUUAAAAAAAAGAUCUUUCUUGGUGGAAAUUUGGUGGAAAUAGGGAAGGGUGUAGUUAUUGGGAUCAAGGGUUGGUUCAUGGUGGUAAUUACAGGGUGGAAAAACGAAUGGAAAAAUGGGGAGAGAUGGAAGAGAAACUUUUCCACCCUCGAUCCCGAACUUCGUCACAUUCAUCAUUGUUCUUGCCAACCGACCUUCUUUCCCUUUCUUCGAUUUCUUUUUCUCCUUACUGGGGAGGCCACCUCGUAAAUUCGGAAACGCGGCGAAGAUUCCCCGCGAUGACACACUUAACCGCCGUUGCCACGCAAAAAACUGCGACGGGAUCUACUGGAAAUCCUUCUUCAACUUCCAUGUACACAGAGAAAAAGAGAGAGAGAGAGAGAGUUCGAUAUACAACGCUGGAAACAAAAGGGAUGAAAUAUUUCUUGGCGCGGAAAGUUGAGGAAAAUUCCUGUCGAGGGAGAGGGGGGGGGGAAGGAAGGAGAUCUUCCAUCAUCGAGGAAAUUUUUCGGUUACAAAAUA